rnacentral:rRNA from 1 species
CUACGUGCCAGCAGCCGCGGUAAUACGGAAGGUUCGGGCGUUAUCCGGAUUUAUUGGGUUUAAAGGGAGCGUAGGCCGGAGAUUAAGUGUGUUGUGAAAUGUAGACGCUCAACGUCUGACUUGCAGCGCAUACUGGUUUCCUUGAGUACGCACAACGUUGGCGGAAUUCGUCGUGUAGCGGUGAAAUGCUUAGAUAUGACGAAGAACUCCGAUUGCGAAGGCAGCUGACGGGAGCGCAACUGACGCUGAAGCUCGAAGGUGCGGGUAUCGAACAGGAUUAGAUACCCUGGUAGUCCGCACAGUAAACGAUGGAUGCCCGCUGUUGGUACCUGGUAUCAGCGGCUAAGCGAAAGCAUUAAGCAUCCCACCUGGGGAGUACGCCGGCAACGGUGAAACUCAAAGGAAUUGACGGGGGCCCGCACAAGCGGAGGAACAUGUGGUUUAAUUCGAUGAUACGCGAGGAACCUUACCCGGGCUUGAAUUGCAGAGGAAGUAUUUAGAGAUA